UACAGAGGUCUCAAGCGUUGUUCGGAUUCAUUGGGCGUAAAGGGUGCGUAGGUGGCGGGGUAAGUCAGGUGUGAAAUCUCGGGGCUCAACCCCGAAACUGCACUUGAUACUGCCUUGCUCGAGUACUGGAGAGGAGACUGGAAUUUACGGUGUAGCGGUGAAAUGCGUAGAUAUCGUAAGGAAGACCAGUGGCGAAGGCGGGUCUCUGGACAGUUCCUGACGCUGAGGCACGAAGGCCAGGGGAGCAAACGGG
rnacentral:rRNA from 1 species